UACGGAGGGUGCAAGCGUUGUCCGGAAUCACUGGGCGUAAAGGGCGCGUAGGUGGCGCGGGAAGUCAACGGUGAAAGUUCGGGGCUCAACCCUGAAUCGGCCGUCGAUACUCCCGGGCUCGAGCACUGUAGAGGCAGAUGGAAUUCCGGGUGUAGCGGUGGAAUGCGUAGAGAUCCGGAAGAACACCGGUGGCGAAGGCGGUCUGCUGGGCAGUUGCUGACACUGAGGCGCGACAGCGUGGGGAGCAAACAGG
rnacentral:rRNA from 1 species